rnacentral:ncRNA from 1 species
AUCUUCAGGGCAGGGUGAGAUUCCCGACCGGCGGUAAAAGUCCGCGACCCUUACUCAGCGUAAGUUGGAUAAGGCUGAUUCGGUGUAAUUCCGAAACCGACAGUAUAGUCUGGAUGGAAGAAGAUG